UACGGAGGGUGCGAGCGUUGUCCGGAAUCACUGGGCGUAAAGGGCGCGUAGGUGGCCCGUGGAAGUCUGCGGUGAAAGCCCGGCGCUCAACGCCGGGUCGGCCGUGGAUACUCUCGGGCUCGAGCUUACUAGAGGCAGAUGGAAUUCCGGGUGUAGCGGUGGAAUGCGUAGAGAUCCGGAAGAACACCGGUGGCGAAGGCGGUCUGCUGGGGUAAUGCUGACACUGAUGCGCGGACAGCGUGGGGAGCAAACAGG
rnacentral:rRNA from 1 species